rnacentral:rRNA from 1 species
ACAGCAGUCGCCGCGGGAAUACGAAGGGUGCAAGCGUUACUCGGAAUUACUGGGCGUAAAGCGUGCGUAGGUGGUGGUUUAAGUCCGUUGUGAAAGCCCUGGGCUCAACCUGGGAAUUGCAGUGGAUACUGGAUCACUAGAGUGUGGUAGAGGAUAGUGGAAUUUCCGGUGUAGCAGUGAAAUGCGUAGAGAUCGGAAGGAACAUCUGUGGCGAAGGCGACUAUCUGGGCCAACACUGACACUGAGGCACGAAAGCGUGGGGAGCAAACAGGAUUAGAUACCCCGGUAGUCCCUGUCUCUUAUAC